AGUUCUUCAGUGCUGUCUCUGUGAUCCAGGCUUUGAUCUGGGAAAGGUUGCGCCUCAUUGCAGAGUUGAAGCUAUCUCCCUGCUUUGUUUACAUGAACGCCCUUCCAGGACUCUGUCUGCUUUUGGGGUGGAAGUGCCCUGCCAAAAACUCUAGCUCUCCAUGCUGGCUGUGUGGCCAGCAUACCUCCUGCCUUUUCAACGAUUCCUCUGCCCUGAAUAGAGAGCGGUGUCUCAUAACAGUUUAGAAACUUCAAAAGUUUCCCUGGCAGGAUGAAUGAUUGACUAGGCAACAUGUUCUUGCCUUUUGGAGUCGCCCUCCAAUUUUUCCAGGCUUGAUUCUGUAAAUCAUUUCAUCUUGUAAAAACACUGGGCUGUGAGCACAGAUGAUCUCAAAGAUGAGGAAACAGAAGCUGGGAUAUGUGAGUAAAUAUUUCCAAGGUCCUGCAGCUAAUCAGUGGUUGACAACUUCUUUCCUCUGCCUAUGUUGCCAUCCAUGUCAUGGUUUAUGUCAAGACUCUAGGAGAAGUCUACCAUCAGCACCACAGCUACUGUGCACAAAUCCAGAAUGCCAGACUGAAGGCAGAAGGAAGGAGCACUUUUCCAACCAGCAGUGGGGCCCUUAGCAGGGGAGACUGGAAACAGAUCCUUUAUGCAUUGAAAGAAGAAAGUAGAACCGUUUCUGGGUCCCAGCUCUGGGAAGAGCUCCUGUUGCUGUGGAUUCUGACUUCUGGGUCUUGGCGCAGGGUGUGGCCAGCAAGCUAAGCUGUCCUGAGGGUGUGCUGGGCCAGGGGCUGAAGACAGUGUUGGAGCAUCCACAGACUGGUUUGUCUCAAGAAGCAUGUUACUAAAUAUGAAAUAGCAAAAUCUGCAAGUGGGUUUACUCUUCCCCCCAUAGAUUAGAAUGGAUUCAAUGUUAUCCCUUUAUUAGCUUCAUUUUAAUCACUUGCAUAGCAAGUAGGACAGAAAGGUGGCUUGAAAGUCAAUUAUGUGAGAAUUCCAGAUAAAUUGACUUUGCUCACAACAAUCUGUUAUUCAUGUGACUAUCAACUGUCAUGUGUGCUGGGGCAAAAAAAGAAGAUUAAGAUUCACUGGUCUCAGAUAGUUCUAGGAGGGGAAACCCAGGAUUGAACUUUUUCAGCCUUCUAUGAUAAAAUUUCCUGCUCUGUGGGUGCACCAAAGCUUUUAUCAGUUUCCUAAACUCCCAUAUUCAAGAAGAGAAGCUAUUUUCUCUUCUUUCUCAUCCUUCCUUGACAAAGCAAAACGUAUUUUCAUUGUCUACUCGGUGUCAUCCAUGCUUGGUUCCUGUCCUCAAAGAGCUUAUAGUUCAAAUAAAGGAGAGGGAGCAUUUUACAAGGAAAUUAAAGGUAAAAGAUUCUGAAAGCCAGUUAAAAAAGGUCGUGAGGGAGGGGUCUGGGAAAAGCUGAGUAGGGGUGAAAGGGUACGAAACAUUAUGGAAGGAGAACAGGGGAGCACCCUGACUACUGGGUGGAAACACCAAUCAGUGGGUAGAAACCACACAGCGGUAACACUGAUCAGUGGGUAGAAACCAAUGACAGCAGGUAUAUGAGGCAUGGAACACUUGGCUUAUUGUAAAGUUUUCAAAAUAUGUGGUCCUUUCUAUCCAGCAGGGGAUGGGAGUUGUCUUUGUAUAUCAACCAUGGAAGGGCUGUUUUGGUUCAUCAUUCUGUGGUCUACCUGAGUAGACCUGAUGCAGCUGUGUUUCUGAGGAAAGGAAGAACAGCUUUUGUUUUGUGAUAUUUAAUGGUAGAUGUAGUGCCAUGGAAUGACGCAGAUUUCAUUCAGAUAUUCUUGGAUCUUGGCCCCAGGACUCACUCAUUCUUCCCUAUGUGAGCAUUGGUAGUUACAGGUUUUACCCUUCCUUUAAUUGUAAGUCUUUUGAAGGCAAAAACUGUAUCCAAUUUGUCACUGUCUCCUAACAGUACUUAGCAGUUUGAUGCAUCAUAGGGAGUUUGUAAAUGCUUGGAUGAAUAAAGGGAAAACAAAAACAACAACAAACCUUUAUUUUGCUUUAAUAAAAAUAUUUUAACUAGUU